ACCUCUGUAAGCUCAGUUGGUUAGAGCGCUGCACCGGAAUCGCAGGGCCGUAGGUUCAAUUUCUACCAGAGGAC
rnacentral:tRNA from 1 species